rnacentral:rRNA from 1 species
GACGAGCCACACAAACGUUAUUCGGAAUUACUGGGCUUAAAGGGUGCGUAGGCUGCGCGGCAAGUUGGGUGUGAAAUACCUCGGCUCAACCGAGGAACUGCGCCCAAAACUACCGUGCUCGAGGAAGAUAGAGGUGAGCGGAACUUACGGUGGAGCGGUGAAAUGCGUUGAUAUCGUAAGGAACACCCGUGGCGAAAGCGGCUCACUGGGUCUUUUCUGACGCUGAUGCACGAAAGCUAGGGGAGCCAACGGG